CAAUGAUCUCAACAAAUUUCUGGAUAGAAAGGACCUAUAGACAGAGAGAUGUACUUGCCGGAUUUUUUCAUCAACUGAAGAACAGGGGCAUCUGCUGCCACAGAGAGGAGAAGUUGCUCUUUUGCCUUUGGCCAUGGAUGUAUCAGGGUGGCUGUGUAUUCGCCUGGAGAGCCCACAGAUGCCACUGACACAGCAGCUGCUCUGACAAUAGCCCAUCAAUGGCUCCUGGAAAAACCUAGUAGACUGGCAGCUUUCAUUGC
rnacentral:lncRNA from 1 species